rnacentral:rRNA from 1 species
UACAGAGGGUGCAAGCGUUAAUCGGAAUUACUGGGCGUAAAGCGUGCGUAGACGGUUAUGUAAGUCAGAUGUGAAAGCCCCGGGCUCAACCUGGGAAUUGCAUUUGAGACUGCAUAGCUAGGGUGCGGAAGAGGGAAGCGGAAUUUCCGGUGUAGCGGUGAAAUGCGUAGAUAUUGGAAGGAACAUCAGUGGCGAAGGCGACUUUCUGGACAGAUACUGACACUGAGGCACGAAAGCAUGGGGAGCAAACAGG